rnacentral:rRNA from 1 species
UAGGGAAUCUUCGGCAAUGGACGGAAGUCUGACCGAGCAACGCCGCGUGAGUGAAGAAGGUUUUCGGAUCGUAAAGCUCUGUUGUAAGAGAAGAACGAGUGUGAGAGUGGAAAGUUCACACUGUGACGGUAUCUUACCAGAAAGGGACGGCUAACUACGUGCCAGCAGCCGCGGUAGUACGUAGGUCCCGAGCGUUAUCCGGAUUUAUUGGGCGUAAAGCGAGCGCAGGCGGUUAGAUAAGUCUGAAGUUAAAGGCUGUGGCUUAACCAUAGUACGCUUUGGAAACUGUUUAACUUGAGUGCAAGAGGGGAGAGUGGAAUUCCAUGUGUAGCGGUGAAAUGCGUAGAUAUAUGGAGGAACACCGGUGGCGAAAGCGGCUCUCUGGCUUGUAACUGACGCUGAGGCUCGAAAGCGUGGGGAGCAAACAGGAUUAGAUACCCUGGUAGUCCACGCCGUAAGCGAUGAGUGCUAGGUGUUGGGUCCUUUCCGGGACUCAGUGCCGCAGCUAACGCAUUAAGCACUCCGCCUGGGGAGUACGACCGCAAGGUUG